AACGAACGCUGGCGGCGCGCCUAACACAUGCAAGUCGAACGAGAAGGCGUAGCAAUACGCUUGUAGAGUGGCGAACGGGUGAGUAAUACGUGGGUGACCUACCCUCGAGUGGGGAAUAACCCGCCGAAAGGCGGGCUAAUGCCGCGUACGCUUCCGUCCUCACGGGGACGGAAGGAAAGCUGUACCGUGGGUACGGCGCUCAAGGAUGGGCUCACGUCCUAUCAGCUUGUUGGUAGGGUAACGGCCUACCAAGGCUACGACGGGUAGCUGGUCUGAGAGGACGAUCAGCCACACUGGCACUGCGACACGGGCCAGACUCCUACGGGAGGCAGCAGUAAGGAAUAUUGCGCAAUGGGCGAAAGCCUGACGCAGCGACGCCGCGGU
rnacentral:rRNA from 1 species